rnacentral:rRNA from 1 species
ACGAGGACGAACGCUGGCGGCGUGCCUAAUACAUGCAAGUCGAGCGGACCAAAGGGAGCUUGCUCCUGGAGGUUAGCGGCGAACGGGUGAGUAACACGUGGGCAACCUGCCUGUAAGACUGGGAUAACAUCGAGAAAUCGGUGCUAAUACCGGAUAAUAAAAAGAACUGCAUGGUUCUUUUUUGAAAGAUGGUUUCGGCUAUCACUUACAGAUGGGCCCGCGGCGCAUUAGCCAGUUGGUGAGGUAACGGCUCACCAAGGCGACGAUGCGUAGCCGACCUGAGAGGGUGAUCGGCCACACUGGGACUGAGACACGGCCCAGACUCCUACGGGAGGCAGCAGUAGGGAAUCUUCCGCAAUGGACGAAAGUCUGACGGAGCAACGCCGCGUGAGUGAUGAAGGUUUUCGGAUCGUAAAACUCUGUUGUUAGGGAAGAACAAGUGCCGUUCGAAAGGGCGGCACCUUGACGGUACCUAACGAGAAAGCCACGGCUAACUACGUG